rnacentral:rRNA from 1 species
GAUGAACGCUAGCGGCAGGCCUAAUACAUGCAAGACGAACGGUAACUUUGGUAGCAAUAUUGAAGCAAGAGUGUCGUAAGGGUGCGUAACACGUAUGCAAUCUGCCCUCAACAGGAGGAUAGCUCCCCGAAAGGGGAAUUAACACUCCAUAAGAUCAUGGUUCGGCAUCGGACAGUGAUUAAAAACUACGGUGGUUGAGGAUGAGCAUGCGCAUGAUUAGUUAGUUGGCGGGGUAAUGGCCCACCAAGACGAUGAUCAUUAGGGGAACUGAGAGGUUGAUCCCCCACACUGGCACUGAGAUACGGGCCAGACUCCUACGGGAGGCAGCAGUAGGGAAUAUUGCGCAAUGGACGAAAGUCUGACGCAGCAACGCCGCGUGCAGGAUGAAGGCCCUUUGGGUUGUAAACUGCUGUAGAAAGGGAAUAAUAGUUUGCCACGGGUGAACUUGAAGGUACCUUUAAAGUAAGCGCCGGCUAACUACGUGCCAGC